GAUGAACGCUGGCGGCGUGCCUAAUACAUGCAAGUAGAACGCUGAAGCUUGGUGCUUGCACCGAGCGGAUGAGUUGCGAACGGGUGAGUAACGCGUAGGUAACCUGCCUCUUAGCGGGGGAUAACUAUUGGAAACGAUAGCUAAUACCGCAUAAAAGUCGAUAUCGCAUGAUAUUGAUUUGAAAGGUGCAAAUGCAUCACUAAGAGAUGGACCUGCGUUGUAUUAGCUAGUUGGUGAGGUAACGGCUCACCAAGGCGACGAUACAUAGCCGACCUGAGAGGGUGAUCGGCCACACUGGGACUGAGACACGGCCCAGACUCCUACGGGAGGCAGCAGUAGGGAAUCUUCGGCAAUGGGGGCAACCCUGACCGAGCAACGCCGCGUGAGUGAAGAAGGUUUUCGGAUCGUAAAGCUCUGUUGUAAGAGAAGAACGAGUGUGAGAGUGGAAAGUUCACACUGCGACGGUAACUUACCAGAAAGGGACGGCUAACUACGUG
rnacentral:rRNA from 1 species